rnacentral:rRNA from 1 species
GACAGAGGGUGCAAACGUUGUUCGGAAUCACUGGGUGUAAAGCGCGUGUAGGCGGCCUGCCAAGUCUGCUGUGAAAGCGCCUGGCUUAACCGGGCGAGGUCGGUGGAAACUGGCGGGCUGGAGGACGGUAGAGGGGGGUGGAAUUCCCGGUGUAGUGGUGAAAUGCGUAGAGAUCGGGAGGAACACCAGUGGCGAAGGCGGCCCCCUGGGCCGUUCCUGACGCUGAGACGCGAAGGCGCGGGGAGCGAACGGG